rnacentral:rRNA from 1 species
UACGAGGGGGCGAGCGUUGUUCGGAAUUAUUGGGCGUAAAGGGUGCGUAGGCGGUUCCGCAAGUCCUGUGUGAAAUCUUCGGGCUCAACUCGAAGUCUGCACGGGAAACUGCGGGGCUUGAGUGUGGGAGAGGUGAGUGGAAUUCCCGGUGUAGCGGUCGAAAUGCGUAGAUAUCGGGAGGAACACCUGUGGCGAAAGCGGCUCACUGGACCAUAACUGACGCUGAUGCACGAAAGCUGGGGGAGCAAACAGG